UUUCAUAGAUACUUGUAAUAACGAUGUCACUAAUCAUGCCAAUUACUUCAUAAAUACAUUAUAAUAAUCUAUCAUGUUUGUUGACACCCAAUUUUGGCCUAAUAUUUUUAAAAAAAUUCGUAAUUUUGGGCCACAACGCUAAGCCCGUCAUUUGAGCCCAUUUUGAGUUUUUAUUUAACUUGCUAACUAGGUCAAAAAGAGGGGGAAAUUUUACAGAAAAAAAAAGGGGAGCCGCAGCCCCCCUCUUCUCUCUUCCUCCCAACAACCUUCCUCUUCUCUUCUCCCGUCCCCCUCCCCUCUCCCGUCGCCCCCUUCCUCUCCCCUUCCUUUCUCCUCCCUUUUCCGCCUCUCAUUUCCCACUGCCCCUCCUCUUUUCCUCCAUUUCCGUCUUUCCUAAACCAGACCCACAUAAGCCAAACACCACCAGAAAACUACCAAGUCAGACCCCAAAAACCCCAUCUCCAGCCGCCUCCUCUCCUCCUCUUUCACCCCUCUCUCCUCUCCUCCACCACCCAAUCGUUCCUAACUCAAAACCCUCACCACAAACCACCAAAGCUGUCAACAAACAACUCCGGACAGCAAACAACCAGCAGCAGCAGGCACUGGCCGCCUCUGCUCUCUUCCGGAAGGGGCGCAACAGCAUCCAACAGUCUCAAUCUCUCUCAUCACAAUCAACUCUCCAACUUGCAGCCUGCUGGAACUAAUCUGUCCACAAAUCCCCUCUUGUUUUCCAGCAAACACCCACCAAACAACAUCAGUCCAUUUCCCUCAUCCCUUUCACUAUUUUUCCUUUAUUUUUGCAGGUAUUCCGUCGUCCAGAGUGACUCUGAAAGCUCCAGUAGGCAGCGACUCAAAGAACAACGACUCCGGCGAAGCAAAAGUUCGCCUCAACUGUAGCAGCAACGAGCCAACACCAGACUACCACAAAAAAAAACAAACCAGAAUCAUUUUUUUGUCCAAAGUUGCAAGAGACAAGGGGAUAAGCGAAAUUAGAGUCCUCACAUUUCUCAAUUAUAUCACGUCAAAACGAUAAAUUAGGGGAGUAUUUGACUAUGAGGUGGCACCCACUUAUUUUAUUAUUAUUUUGCAUGACGGUCCUGCUCUCACAUAUUUCUCAUAUUUUUAUAGGGAUACCGUCCCCGACAUCAGUCGGGGAUGGUCAUAACAAUGUCUGGAUCUCGUGAAAUUGGGAAGAGACAAGGAUCUAAGAAAACAUCCAAAAAGAGUACAUCAAAUCAUUACUGUAGAAAUUCGUAGGGUACAUUCAACAGACAGUAUAAACACUGAUGAUUAAGAGGCUAUAAAACGUAUUGGUGCGCAAAAAAAAAAAAAACACUCCA